rnacentral:rRNA from 1 species
CUCAAUGAAAUAUUUAAAUAGCCGCAAUAUUUAUUGUGCUAAGGUAGCAUAAUCACUUGUCUUUUAAUUUAAGACUAGAAUGAAAGAUUUAACAUUACAAUUCCUAUCCUAAUUGUAUUCAACUUCAAUUUAUCUUAAAUAUAAAAAGAUAUUUAUAUUUCAAAAAGACGAUAAGACCCUAUUGAACUUAACUUCAGUUUAACUGGGGCAGUUAAACAAAUAAUAUUUUAAUCUUAUUAUUAACAAAAAAGAUCUUUUAUAAUUAUUCAAAUGAUCAAGUUACCAUAGGGAUAACAGCGUAAUAAUUUUUAUAAGUUCUUAUUUAAAAAAAAGAUUACGACCUCGAUGUUGAAUUAAUUACCUAUUAAAAGUAAAAAUUUAAAAAGGAAGUCUGUUCGACUU